rnacentral:rRNA from 1 species
GUCUACAGCCAUGCCACCUUGAACAUACUCAAUCUCGUCUGAUCUCGGAAGCUAAGCAGGGUUGGCCCUGGUUAGUACUUGGAUGGGAGACCACCUAGGAAGACCAGGUACUAUAGGCG